rnacentral:miRNA from 1 species
AAGGUAGACAGAACAGGUCUUG